UACGUAGGGGGCAAGCGUUGUCCGGAUUUAUUGGGCGUAAAGAGCGUGUAGGCGGCCUGGAAGGUCAGCUGUGAAAACUCGAGGCUCAACCUCGAGACGUCGGUUGAAACCACCUGGCUAGAGUCCGGAAGAGGAGUGUGGAAUUCCCGGUGUAGCGGUGGAAUGCGCAGAUAUCGGGAGGAACACCCGUGGCGAAGGCGGGUCUCUGGACAGUUCCUGACACUGAGGCACGAAGGCCAGGGGAGCAAACGGG
rnacentral:rRNA from 1 species